rnacentral:rRNA from 1 species
UACGAAGGGGCUAGCGUUGCUCGGAAUCACUGGGCGUAAAGCGCACGUAGGCGGAUUGUUAAGUCAGGGGGUGAAAUCCUGGAGCUCAACUCCAGAACUGCCUUUGAUACUGGCGAUCUUGAGUCCGGGAGAGGUGAGUGGAAUUCCUAGUGUAGAGGUGAAAUCGUAGAUAUUAGGAAGAACACCAGUGGCGAAGGGCGGCCUCACUGGCCCGAUACUGAC